rnacentral:rRNA from 1 species
AGAACGAACGCUGGCGGCAUGCCUAAUACAUGCAAGUCGAACGAACACUCUGACUUCGGUUGGGGUGUUAGUGGCGCACGGGUGCGUAACGCGUGGGAAUCUGCCCUUGGGUUCGGAAUAACAGUUGGAAACGACUGCUAAUACCGGAUGAUAUCGAAAGAUCAAAGAUUUAUCGCCCAGGGAUGAGCCCGCGUAGGAUUAGCUAGUUGGUGGGGUAAAGCUCACCAAGGCGACGAUCCUUAGCUGGUCUGAGAGGAUGAUCGGUCACACUGGAACUGAGACACGGUCCAGACUCCGUACGGGAGGCAGCA